AGAGAUGACCAGCACUCAUGGUUUUCUAGAGGUUAAAAGUUGUAGGCUUUAAUGAAAAUACAUGUUAAAAAGAAGAUUGACAUUUCAGUGCACGUCUGGGACUUUCAUCAGGAUCUGGUACCUGAUCCUGAUGAAAGUCCCAGACGUGGACUGAAACGUUGAUCUUCUUUUUAACAUGUAUUUUCAUUAAAGCCUAUAACUUUUAAUCUCUAGAAAACCGUGAGUGCUGGUCAUCUCUACAUUUU